rnacentral:rRNA from 1 species
UACGUAGGGGGCAAGCGUUAUCCGGAUUCACUGGGUGUAAAGGGAGCGUAGACGGCGACGCAAGUCUGGAGUGAAAGCCCGGGGCCCAGCCCCGGGACUGCUCUGGAAACUGCGUCGCUGGAGUACGGGAGGGGCAGGCGGAAUUCCUGGUGUAGCGGUGAAAUGCGUAGAUAUCAGGAGGAACACCGGCGGCGAAGGCGGCCUGCUGGACCGUGACUGACGUUGAGGCUCGAGAGCGUGGGGAGCAAACAGG